GGCCCCGUCGUCUAGCGGCCUAGGAUACGUGGUUCUCAGCCACGAGAUCGCGGGUUCGAAUCCCGCCGGGGCUA
rnacentral:tRNA from 1 species